rnacentral:rRNA from 1 species
GAUUCGCCCGCCGCGCCCCGCGCCCGUCCCGCCGCCCCCGCCCGCUCCUACGGGAGGCAGCAGCGGGGAAUAUUGCACAAUGGGGGGAACCCUGAUGCAGCGACGCCGCGUGAGUGAAGAAGUCAUUCGUGAUGUAAAGCUCUAUCAGCAGGGAAGAAAAUGACGGUACCUGACCAAGAAGCCCCGGCUAACUACGUGCCAGCAGCCGCGGUAAUACA